rnacentral:rRNA from 1 species
AAAUUGAAGAGUUUGAUCAUGGCUCAGAUUGAACGCUGGCGGCAGGCCUAACACAUGCAAGUCGAGCGGAAACGAGUUAUCUGAACCUUCGGGGAACGAUAACGGCGUCGAGCGGCGGACGGGUGAGUAAUGCCUGGGAAAUUGCCCUGAUGUGGGGGAUAACCAUUGGAAACGAUGGCUAAUACCGCAUAAUGCCUACGGGCCAAAGA